UACGUAGGGUGCAAGCGUUGUCCGGAAUUAUUGGGCGUAAAGAGCUCGUAGGUGGCGGGUCACGUCGGGUGUGAAAGCCCGGGGCUUAACCCCGGGUCUGCAUUCGAUACGGGUCUGCUGGGGUCCGGCAGGGGAGACUGGGAAUUCCUGGUGUAGCGGUGAAAUGCGCAGAUAUCAGGAGGGAACACCGGUGGGCGAAGGCGGGUCUCUGGGCCGGUACCGACGCUGGAGGAGCGAAAGCGUGGGGAGC
rnacentral:rRNA from 1 species